rnacentral:rRNA from 1 species
GACCCGUCUUGAAACACGGACCAAGGAGUCUAACAUGUGCGCGAGUCGCCGGGUCUUGACCAGGCCCGUGGGCGCAGUGAAAGUGAAGGCCGGCCUCGUGCUGGGCGUGUUGGGAUUCCCGGCCCUCGUCGGUCGGGAAGCACCAACGACCCGUCCUAUCCGAUUUAUCGGUGGGGCGGAGUUUGAGCGUACACGUUGGGACCCGAAAGAUGGUGAACUAUGCCUGGGCAGGACGAAGCCAGAGGAAACUCUGGUGGAGGUCCGUAGCGGUUCUGACGUGCAAAUCGAUCGUCAGACCUGGGUAUAGGGGCGAAAGACUAAUCGAACCAUCUAGUAGCUGGUUCCCUCCGAAGUUUCCCUCAGGAUAGCUGGCGCUCGGAGGAAUCAGUCUCAUCCGGUAAAGCGAAUGAUUAGAGGCCUUGGGGCCGAAACGACCUCAACCUAUUCUCAAACUUUAAAUGGGUGAGAAGUCCGGCUUGCAUGAUUGAAGCUCGGACGUUUCGGAUGUGAGCGCCC